rnacentral:rRNA from 1 species
AGAGUUUGAUCAUGGCUCAGAACGAACGCUGGCGGCGUGGCUAAAACAUGCAAGUCGCACGGAAAGGUCUCUCUAGUUUACUAGAAGGACACUCGAGUGGCGAAAGGGCGAGGAAUACAUGGGUAACGUACCCCGGACAUGAGGAUAGCUGUGGGAAACUGCAGGUAAUACUCAAUGAGACCCCGGUGUCAUAUGGCACAGAGGUCAAAGGGUGGGGAUUCCGACUUGUCGGAACCUACUGGUCUGGGCGCGGCCCAUGUCCUAUCAGCUUGUUGGUGAGGUAACGGCUCACCAAGGCAACGACGGGUACCGGGACUGAGAGGUUGACCCGGCGCAUCGGGACUGAGACACUGCCCGGACUCCUACGGGAGGCUGCAGUAACGAAUAUUCCGCAAUGGGCGCAAGCCUGACGGAGCGACGCCGCGUGCAGGAUGAAGCCUUUCGGGGUGUAAACUGCUGUCAGGGACUACCAAGCAAAAAGGGCCAAUACCCCUUGGCGUUGAGGAAUCCCAAAGGAAGCCACGGCUAACUUCGUGCCAGCAGCCGCGGUAAGACGAAGGUGGCAAGCGCUGUUCGGAAUCACUGGGCUUAAAGCGCAUGUAGGCGGUCUGUCAAGCGUCUUGUGAAAGCCCUCGGCUCAACCGAGGAAUUGCUUGGCGAACUGACGGACUUGAGGCAGGUAGAGGCGCGCGGAACUCUUGGUGGAGCGGUGGAAUGCGUAGAUAUCAAGAGGAACGCCGGUGGCGAAAGCGGCGCGCUGGGCCUGUCCUGACGCUGAGAUGCGAAAGCUAGGGUAGCGAACGGGAUUAGAUACCCCGGUAGUCCUAGCCCUAAACGAUGUCCACUAGAUCGAAGGCGCUCUGACGCGGUUUCGGUCGAAACAAAAGCGAUAAGUGGACCGCCUGGGGAGUACGGUCGCAAGGCUAAAACUCAAAGGAAUUGACGGGGGCUCACACAAGCGGUGGAGCAUGUUGCUUAAUUCGAUGCAACGCGAAGAACCUUAUCCUGGGCUUGACAUGCUUGGAUGCCCAUCUGGAAACAGAGUAGGCUGCUCUUCGGAGUGAAACUUGCACAGGUGCUGCAUGGCUGUCGUCAGCUCGUGUCGUGAGAUGUUGGGUUAAGUCCCGUAACGAGCGAAACCCUUGUCGCUAGUUGCCAGCGCGUUAUGGCGGGGACUCUAGCGAGACUGCCGGUGUUAAACCGGAGGAAGGUGGGGAUGACGUCAAGUCCUCAUGGCCUUUAUGCCCAGGGCUGCAAACGUGCUACAAUGGCGUGUACAAACCGACGCGAUACCGCGAGGUGGAGCAAAUCGGAGAAAACACGCCCCAGUUCGGAUUGGAGUCUGCAACUCGACUCCAUGAAGUUGGAAUCGCUAGUAAUCGCGUAUCAGCUACGACGCGGUGAAUGUGUUCCUGAGCCUUGUACACACCGCCCGUCAAGUCAUGGAAGCCGGGAGUACCCGAAGUCGCCUCAAUUCAGAGGUGCCGAAGGUAAGUUCGGUGACUGGGACUAAGUCGUAACAAGGUA